CGCGGCCUAUCAGCUUGUUGGUGAGGUAACGGCUCACCAAGGCGACGACGGGUAGCUGUUCUGAGAGGAAGAUCAGCCACACUGGGACUGAGACACGGCCCAGACUCCUACGGGAGGCAGCAGUGGGGAAUCUUGCGCAAUGGGCGAAAGCCUGACGCAGCGAUGCCGCGUGCGGGAAGACGGCCUUAGGGUUGUAAACCGCUUUCAGCAGGGACGAAAUUGACGGUACCUGCAGAAGAAGCUCCGGCCAACUACGUGCCAGCAGCCGCGGUAAGACGUAGGGGGCGAGCGUUGUCCGGAAUUAUUGGGCGUAAAGGGCUCCUAGGUUGUUCAGUAAGUCGACUGUGAAAAUCCAAGGCUCAACCUUGGGACGCCAGUCGAUACUGCUGUGACUCGAGUUCGGUAGAGGAGUGUGGAAUUCCUGGUGUAGCGGUGAAAUGCGCAGAUAUCAGGAGGAACACCAACGGCGAAGGCAGCACUCUGGGCCGAUACUGACACUGAAGAGCGAAAGCAUGGGGAGCAAACAGGAUUAGAUACCCUGGUAGUCCAUGCCGUAAACGUUGGGCACUAGGUGUGGGGUUCUAUCAACGGACUCCGUGCCGCAGCUAACGCAUUAAGUGCCCCGCCUGGGGAGUACGG
rnacentral:rRNA from 1 species